AGAAGGUCCAGAAUAUUGACACUGACCCAGGAGUCCUGGCAGGGACUCAGAAGAGUAUGCAAGGUUUGAUAUCAUGUGUCUAGAAUGUUCCACUAACCUCUGGAGUCUCUGCCAAACUUAUGCCUCACAGAAAAGCAGCAUUAAGGUGUAAAGGUUCUGUUAUGGGCUGUUUGUGUCCCUCCUAAAUUCAUAUAUUGAAGCCCUAACUUCCGGUAGCAUAGUGUUAGGAGGCGGGGCCUUUAGGUAAUAAUUAGAUAUAGAUGAUGUCAUGAGGGUAGAAUCUCUAUGAUGAAACCAGUGUCUUUAGAAGGAGAGGAUGAGACUAGGGCCUUCCUCUGUCUCUCUGCCAUGGGAGGAUACAGGAAGAAUGCAGCUGUCUGCAAGACAGGGAGAGGGUUCUCAUCAGAACGAGACCAUGCUGGCAUCCUGAUCUCACGCUUGCAGCCUCUAAAACUGUGAGAAAGAAAUUGCUGUUGAAAAGUAAUAAAAGCCAAAACCACCAUGAGAUACCACUCAUCAGGAUGGCUACUAUCAAAAACAAAAAAGGACAAACAAAAACCAGUGUUGGUGAGAAUGUGGAGAAAUUGGAACCUUUGGGCCCUGUUGGUAGAAAUGUAAAAUGGUGCAGCUGUUGUGGAAAAUGGUGUAGCAGUUUCUCAAAAAAUAAACAUAGAAUUACCAUA